rnacentral:rRNA from 1 species
GAUGAACGCUGGCGGCGUGCCUAAUACAUGCAAGUCGAGCGAAUGGAUUAAGAGCUUGCUCUUAUGAAGUUAGCGGCGGACGGGUGAGUAACACGUGGGUAACCUGCCCAUAAGACUGGGAUAACUCCGGGAAACCGGGGCUAAUACCGGAUAACAUUUUGAACCGCAUGGUUCGAAAUUGAAAGGCGGCUUCGGCUGUCACUUAUGGAUGGACCCGCGUCGCAUUAGCUAGUUGGUGAGGUAACGGCUCACCAAGGCAACGAUGCGUAGCCGCCCUGAGAGGGUGAUCGGCCACACUGGGACUGGGACACGGCGCAGACUCCUACGGGAGGCAGCAGUAGGGAAUCUUCCGCAAUGGACGAAAGUCUGACGGAGCAACGCCGCGUGAGUGAUGAAGGCUUUCGGGUCGUAAAACUCUGUUGUUAGGGAAGAACAAGUGCUAGUUGAAUAAGCUGGCACCUUGACGGUACCUAACCAGAAAGCCACGGCUAACUACGUGCCAGCCGCCGCAGUAA